rnacentral:rRNA from 1 species
UAAGCGAAGAGUGAAAUUGUGUGGCUCAACCAUACACCCAUUAUUCGAACUGCUCAGCUUGAGAGUGAGAGAGGUUACUGGAACUCCCUGUGUAGGAGUGAAAUCCGUAGAUAUAGGGAGGAACACCAAUGGCGUAGGCAGGUAACUGGCUCAUCUCUGACACUAAGGCACGAAAGCGUGGGGAGCAAACGGGAUUAGAUACCCCGGUAGUCCACGCCGUAAACGAUGGAUACUA